CCAGCAGAAGCCCCAGACUUGGCGUCCAUUGGUUGGGCUUGGGGCAUGUGCCCACUCCUGUUUCUGUCAUCAUCUCCUCCAGGAAGGCUUCCAGGACUUCCGUGAGUAGUUAAGACUGCCAUCUGCUAGGCAGCCACAGCUGUUCUUCCCUCUGAGCCAGGCCAACUGGGGAUUUCACCCUCUGGCCCCUGCUUGCCCUUGAGUGCUUCUUCCUGCUCCCUCCCCGGUGCCUAGCUUGGAGCCAGGCCCAGCGAUGGCUCCUGGGCAGUGCCUGUUGACAGAUCUGAGGGCCCAAGGGAGUGGGGAACCUGGGUGGGCCCUGACUGCCCUGGGGAAGACGGAGUUACAAGCUUCCUGCUGAGGUCCCUUUUGCCCUCAGCUUAGAAGCCACCUCCUUCACAUGGCCUUCCCGGCCCAGCCUCUGAGAUGUCGCCCUCCAGUCACCUUAUCAUAUCUCUGGUUGUAGCCUGGCUGCUAUUUUCCCUGUUUGUUUACUUCUUGUCUCUUUCAGCCCCUGACACUCACGAGCUUGUCAGUUCCACGAGAGCAGAUUUCAGGAUCUGCCCUCUUCCAGUACUUGGCAUGGUACCCCUCACCAAAGGGGCCCAGGAAAUGGUCACUAAAUGAAUGACCUCCGGCACCCUCCCCGUUGGACCCACCUUUGGGAGGAAUUGUCAUGGUUCCCAGGUUGAGGGGGCUGGUUCCAAUGGGGGAAGCUCCAGUUGCCUUGGUGGCCCUCUCCCCUGGGGACCCCCCGUCUACCUCACAGCCCAAGCCUUUGGAUGGCAGAGGUAUUGGAAUGACUCAUUCCAGGUGGGGCAUCUCAAGACCUAAUUCUCAGCAAAACUCCCAAUAACACCAAAGCAGAAGAACCUGCAGGUGGCGGGGACGGGCUGAGCUCCCCCGGCCCCAGCUCCCUCUAGCUGACCUUCCGGGAGGCUCACAGGCUCCCCCAGCCUCACCAUCCUGUCUGUACAGCCUUGGGCCUUGCCUUCUCUUUGUCCCCCCCUCUCCCUGCUCUGCUCUCUUUCUUUAUCUUCUUCCUUUUCCCCAUCAUCUUCCCCAUCCACUGCACAGCAGAUGGCACAGAGUAGGUGCACAACAGCUAUCUGUUAGUUGGUUCAAUUUAUAACAUUUUCCUUUUAUUGGGAAAGAGAUGGAGAUACCCCCUCCCAACCUUUCCCCUCAUCUUCCUCCACGGCCAAGGUUCCUGAUGCAGAGUGACUUAACACCUAGGUGUCAGUCCGCCCCUUCUCUUUCGUUUGGUUCAUUUGUCCAUCCACUCAUCUAACUAUCCACCCAUCCAUUCAUCUCUCCAUCCAUCCACCCAUCUAUCCACCCACCAUCUAUUGACCCAUCUAUCCAUCUGUCCAUCUGUCUACUCAUCCCUCCAUCCCUCCAUCCAACUACUGGGCAUGGACUGGCCCUGGAUUAACGUGACACAGUAGGCGGGGCAGUGAGUGGAGGGAUAAGACAAAUGCACACCCAGAUGUACUGGAAGUGGGGACUACAAACUCAGGUGCAGGUGGGAACCGAAGUAAGCUGGGUGUAGGACAGCCAGGAUGGUGCCUGCACAGGUAUGGAACUUCUGAACCCCUAGGCUCACAUCACAAAAUACCUCCUCAGCCUGCUAAUGGUCUGCUGGCUGUCAGUCUGUGAGUCCGACCUGGAGCAACAACAGGAAGCCCAGCCAAGGGGGAGACCUCACAUGGUUGGGGGCAGGAAUGGGGGCACUAGGCAGGGCUUCCUGGAAGAGGAGACAUUUGCACUGGACCUGAAGGCUGAGUCCACAAGCCCAGGAUGGAGGCUUUGCAAGGAGAGGGAGUGGCCUCCUGGCGUCACAGUUCCUGGCCCAAACACAAUGUUUGUAUGUUCAUGGACAGCCUCUGACUGUCCUGCUUCCUCUCCCUCCUUCAACUCAAGGGCGAACGAGAGUGACUGCCUGUUGUUCCGCUCCUCUCUGCCCAGGUGCCCAAUGGCACUGUGGAGGAGAAGCACGCGCACAUGAACAAGAACUCAUGGGCAGGGGCCUCGUCUGUCUUGUUCACUGCUACAGCCAGGACCUAGAGCAGGCGCUCAGUGAACACUUGCUGGGUGACCAAACGGCUGGAGAUGGCCCACACUGAAUGAAGGAAUGCACAGAUGAGGCGGGAAUUAUUAGUCUUUAGAGAAGCAUGCACAACUGCAUCCUCAUGGUCAGAAGAAGGAUGCAGACACUACAGGGCAGGCCCAAGGCCCCCUGUCUCCCCAGCUCCAGACCUCACUCCCGUUCCACAGGUGGACGUGGUGGAGUGUUCCCUUCCACCGCCUUCUCUGCACGUUUGAUGGAUUUGUGUGCGUGUGUGUGUCGUGUGUGUUUGGUGCCUGUGUGUGGAUGUGGCCAAUCACAAUACAUGGCAUCGUUUUGUCAGAUUAAAAAAAAAAAAAAAGGUGGAAUUGCACGGUGUGUGCUGUCUGCACCUUCCUUCUUUAGGCUUGCUUUCUUUUUCGGGAAUAGCAUUUCCUGGAGCUUCCUUUUCACAGGGCACC
ensembl:lncRNA